rnacentral:rRNA from 1 species
AUUGAACGCUGGCGGCAGGCUUAACACAUGCAAGUCGAGCGGAGUGGUGGUGCUUGCACUAUCACUUAGCGGCGGACGGGUGAGUAAUGCUUAGGAAUCUGCCUAUUAGUGGGGGACAACAUUUCGAAAGGAAUGCUAAUACCGCAUACGUCCUACGGGAGAAAGCAGGGGAUCUUCGGACCUUGCGCUAAUAGAUGAGCCUAAGUCGGAUUAGCUAGUUGGUGGGGUAAAGGCCUACCAAGGCGACGAUCUGUAGCGGGUCUGAGAGGAUGAUCCGCCACACUGGGACUGAGACACGGCCCAGACUCCUACGGGAGGCAGCAGUGGGGAAUAUUGGACAAUGGGGGGAACCCUGAUCCAGCCAUGCCGCGUGUGUGAAGAAGGCCUUAUGGUUGUAAAGCACUUUAAGCGAGGAGGAGGCUACUGAGACUAAUACUCUUGGAUAGUGGACGUUACUCGCAGAAUAAGCACCGGCUAACUCUGUGCCAGCCGCCGCAGUAAUAC